CUUCUGCGGGGAAAGAAUAUGCCACCCAACUUAUGAGGGCCCAAGUCCCAACAUGACUGCGAUCUAAGAUCGUUCCCUGGUCCACAUGGUCCACAUGUUGAGGAAGAGUUCAUGCAAUUGUUUAAGCAGGGUGUCCCUCCAUGUUUGUAGAUCUAUCAGCAAAUAAAUCAUCCAGUCCAAGUGCUACUCUA